rnacentral:rRNA from 1 species
CCUACGGGUGGCAGCAGUAGGGAAUCUUUCACAAUGGGCGAAAGCCUGAUGGAGCAACGCCGCGUGCAGGAUGAAGGCCUUCCGGUUGUAAACUUCUUUUAUAAGCGAGAUAUAUGACGGUAACUUAUGAAUAUUGCUCGGCUCACUACGUGACAGCAGCCGCGGUCAUACGUAGGAUCCGAGCAUUAUCCGGAGUGUCUGGGUGUAAAGAGUUGCGUAGGUGGCAUAAUAAGUAGCUAGUGAAAUCUGGUGGCUCAACCAUUCAGACUAUUAGCUAAACUGUUAAGCUCGAGACCGUUAGGGGUAACUGGAAUUUCUAGUGUAGGAGUGAAAUCCGUAGAUAUUAGAAGGAACACCGAUAGCGUAGGCAGGUUACUGGGACGGUUCUGACACUAAGGCACGAAAGCGUAGGGAGCGAACGGGAUUAGAUACCCUAGUAGUC